CCUGGUCACUGACACUCCUGUUUUUUUAUCAUUCUUCCCCAUAAAUUAGACAUAAGUGUGUGUAAAAUUAACUGUAUUCAAUACCAGUGGGUAUUCCUAGUUCUUUGCUGCCCCGACCAAAUCCUUUAACAACUUUUCCUUCUGCAAAAUGUGGUAGAAUUUGCUCCAUUUUUAUAUAACCUUAAAAUGUAAGAAUCGUCAUAUGUUCUCGUUAAUGAACUUCCGGUAAAUU
rnacentral:lncRNA from 1 species